rnacentral:rRNA from 1 species
AUUGAACGCUGGCGGCAGGCCUAACACAUGCAAGUCGAGCGAGCGGCGGACGGGUGAGUAAUGUAUGGGGACUGCCAGAAAGAGGGGGAUCACUACUGGAAACGGUAGCUAAUAACGCAUACUAUCGGAUAACCCAUAUGGGAUUAGCUAGUAGGUGAGGUAAUGGCUCACCUAGGCGACGAUCCCUAGCUGGUCUGAUAGGAUGAACAGCCAAGCUGGUACUGAGACACGGCCCAGACUCCUACGGAGGCAGCAGUGGGGAAUAGUGCACAAUGGGCGCAAGCCUGCUGCAGCCAUGCCGCGUGUAUGAAGAAGGCCCUAGGGUUGUAAAGUACUUUCAGUCUGGAGGCGUUACCGACAGAAGAAGAACCGGCUAACUCCGUGCCAGCAGCCGCGGUAAUUC